ACGCGAAAGCCCCCUUCGGGGGGCAAGUAGAGUGGCGCACGGGUGAGUAACACGUAGGUAAUCUACCUUUGGAUGGGGAAUAACAACCGGAAACGGUUGCUAAUACCGCAUAAUGCAGCGGCACCUAAUGGUGACAGUUGUUAAAGCGGGGGAUCGCAAGACCUCGCGUCUGAAGAGGAGCCUGCGGCAGAUUAGCUAGUUGGUAAGGUAAAGGCUUACCAAGGCGAUGAUCUGUAGCCGGCCUGAGAGGGCGGUCGGCCACACUGACACUGACAUACGGGUCAGACUCCUACGGGAGGCAGCAGUCGGGAAUUUUGGGCAAUGGGCGAAAGCCUGACCCAGCAACGCCGCGUGAAGGAUGAAAUCCCUCGGGAUGUAAACUUCGCAAGAACGGGAAGAAUAAGCCGGUGCCAAUAACACCGGCGAUGACGGUACUGUUUGUAAGCUCUGGCUAACUCCGUGCAGCAGCCGCGGUAAUACGGGGGGAGCAAGCGUUG
rnacentral:rRNA from 1 species